rnacentral:rRNA from 1 species
GAUGAACGCUAGCGGCAGGCUUAAUACAUGCAAGUCGAGGGGCAGCAUGACUGUAGCAAUACAGUUGAUGGCGACCGGCAAACGGGUGCGGAACACGUACAGAACCUUCCUUCGAGCGGGGAAUAGCCCAGAGAAAUUUGGAUUAAUACCCCAUAGUACAACGGAGUGGCAUCACUUUGUUGUUAAAGAUUUAUCACUUGAAGAUGGCUGUGCGGCUGAUUGGGUAGUUGGCGGGGUAACGGCCCACCAAGCCUGAGAUCAGUAACUGGUGUUAGAGAACAAGCAGUCACACGGGCACUGAGAAAGGGGCCCGAAUGCUAUGGGGGCAAGCAGUAAGGAAUAUUGGUCAAUGGACCAAAGUCUGAACCAGCCAUGCCGCGUGGAGGAUGAAGGCCCUCUGGAUUGUAAACUUCUUUUAUAUGGGACGAAAAAGGGUUUUCUAGCUCGUCUGACGUUACCACAUGAAUAAGCACUGUCUAACUCCGUGCCAGCAGCCGCCGUAACAC